ACCGGACGCGCCGCCCCGCGGCCCAACGCGCGUCGCCGGGCGUGGGAGCACGCCACUGCCGUCCUGCUCAACCUCGUCGGCGCCCAGGUCUUCUUCCUCCCAGAUGGUUGCGUCUCCUUCCGUCAGCCGUCAGUGCCUCUGCAGCACGCCACUGCCGCCCUGCUCAACCUCGCCGGCGCCCAGGUCUUCUUCCUCCCAGACGGCUGCGUCUCCUUCCGUCAACCGUCAGUGCCUCUGCAGCCGCGGGCGUGGCCCCCUAGCUCGCCCCCACGCCGACACGGGAGCAACCUCCAACCCCCUGCUCAUCUCCUCC
rnacentral:misc_RNA from 1 species